rnacentral:tRNA from 1 species
GGUAGUAUGGCCGAGUAAAGGCAUUGAGUUGUAGCCUCGAUAACAGGGGGUGUUACCCUUGCUGCCA